GACAGAGGGUGCAAACGUUGUUCGGAAUUACUGGGCGUAAAGCGUGUGUAGGCGGUCUCAUAAGUCGGAUGUGAAAAUCCAGGGCUUAACCCUGGACCUGCAUUCGAUACGGGCAGACUAGAGUUCGGUAGGGGAGACUGGAAUUCCUGGUGUAGCGGUGAAAUGCGCAGAUAUCAGGAGGAACACCGGUGGCGAAGGCGGGUCUCUGGGCCGAUACUGACGCUGAGGAGCGAAAGCGUGGGGAGCGAACAGG
rnacentral:rRNA from 1 species